AAAUUUGAGAGUAUGAUCCUGGCUCAGAAUGAACGCUGGCGGUAUGCUUAAUACAUGCAAGUCGAACGAGAAAAUUUAGUAAUAGAUGAGUAAAGUGGCGUACGGGUGAGUAAUGUACAGGAAUCUACCUGAUAGUAAGGAAUAAGCACUGGAAACGGUGUCUAAUACCAUAUAAUACCAUUUAUUUGGGAAAGGAUCGACUUGUCGAUCCGCUUUUGGAUGAGCCUGUAUCGGAUUAGCUAGUUGGUGGGGUAAAGGCCUACCAAGGCGAUGAUACGUAGCUGGUCUGAGAGGAUGAUCAGCCACAUUGGGACUGCGACACGGCCCAAACUCCUAC
rnacentral:rRNA from 1 species